rnacentral:pre_miRNA from 1 species
AUUAGUAUCUCCUGGGGAGCUUGUCUAAAUGCAGAUUUUAAUUCCCUAGGUGGGGGAUGAGAUCCGAAAUUCUGCAUUUCUAAUGGGUGCUCAGGUGUUGCUGAU